UCGAUCCGGGGGCCGCCAAGCGGCGGGGCGGGCGCGCUUCCGGCAUCCGCCGCCGCCCCCUUGCCACCACCUGCCAAGCCCCUGCAGCCUAGAAACCCGCCACCCGAGAGGCACUACUGCUCAGUCCAGACAGUACAAUGAUAGCAUCUCCAGCAAUUGCUUCUAUAAUGAAUAGCAUGAGUCAUUCUGCAGGAUAUUGAUCUUCCUUUUUUUACUCCUAGACUGAAUUUUUCCACCACCUGGAUGAACAAGCCCUCUUUCUUCCAUUCAUUUACUUGUCUAGUCAAACACCCAUCAGACCUUUGCCAGGUGUCCAGCCUGGGCACUACGUUUCAGAAAAUGAUGCACAUAGAAUCCCUAACUGAAAGGAGAUCGCAGCUCAUUUGGGCUGAUUCUUUGACUGGUGAGCCACUCCCCAGGCAGGCAUAGCAUCACAGAGUUUCUGAGAAGGUACACCCUGGAUCUGUGAAACACCCUAGCUUUUAGCCUGGGUAAGGAGCUGGAGAGAUGUGAAAAUGUGGAAAGCAAGCCUAAGUCGCAGUGUGGCCUAUGCCUGAGAGCCAUC
rnacentral:lncRNA from 1 species